AUGAACCAGGCUUUGGCGAAGAAGGAUCUUGACCUUGCAGCAGCACAGAAAACAGCAGAAGAGAAAACGACACUCGCCGACCAGAAGCUGGCAUCAGUCGGAAAGCUGGAGGAAGAGAACACCAAAUUGAAGGUUGCCCUUGAUGAAGCGAACAAAGAGGCGACCCGGCUGAAGAAGGACAAAAGGAACCUGACCGAGAAAGUGGAAGACAUCGCCCGCAAGAGAGACGAGCUGGAGAAUUAUCUUGGAGGACUCGCCAAGAAGUUAUUCCUUAUGCUUGAAGGUGCUUUUUCUUGUCCGACUGACUUUCUGCUGUCGACUCGUUAUAUAGUUGUUGACUCAUCGUUUUAUUGUGUGUGCAGAAUUCUGCCAGAACUUCGAGGAAGAGACUAG
rnacentral:rRNA from 1 species